GUUCCAUUUGCUGCACAAUUGUGGUCUGACCUAAUCGUAAAGCUGUUAUUUCCUGUAAGCAGGUGGUGAGGUUAUCCUUAUCUCUAUUCCUGAGUCCUCUGGCUAGUAAUACUAUUUGUACCAGCAAGCUAACUGCCAUGACAGCAUAUAGGCCAAUAAUUGGCAAAUUAGCAUCCUCCUCAAACAGUGAAUUCACGUAAUAAGCAAAAACAUUACCAAUUUUAGCAAAUGAUAAAUAUUCCGCCAUGAUUUUACCUGAUUUCUACUCCAGAUGCAGUAAAUAUAUUUGACCAGCAGGUAGCACAGGCCUUCAGUUAUUCCGAGGCGUUUGACAGCAGUCGGUCAGCAGUGGAGAGAGGUCACAAAAGCUUCUGCGCUUAUCUUAGAGAGUAUACGGCUUUUCAGCUUUGGCUUUCCCGUUCAGCGGCAAGGGGAAGCCUCUGCUGAAAGCCGAAACUUACUCACCUCUAGGCAGCUAGAAACUGGGUGGAUGGCUCUGAGCAGCUCAGCUGCCGUGGGUCAGCUGCUAGCCGGGAACGCCUGUGGAGAGAGGGUGCUUUCCCGGCCUAGGCGGCGGGCCCGAUGGAACCCACAGCCUGUCCCAAAUGGGGUGUGGGUUUCCAAUAUCCCACUUCUGACAACCAGAUAUAGUAGGAAAUUACCAAUACGGAGUCAGGUAGAAAUAUAAGGGUAUUUAAUAGGGAAAAGCCUUACUUACAGAGCGAACCAGCCAGCCGGUGGUAGUCUGUACAGCAAGCAGCAAAGAGAAACCGAAACCGAAAACGCAGUCCCCCUACUCACUCUGACCACGCCCUCACAAGCCCUCAGGUACUCCUGUAGCCAGCCCCUAAGAAGGCGUGGCUACAGCUUCCCCUACAAUUAAUAGCCAGGAUGUGUCUCUACUAAAUCCCAGCCACCCUAUCAUAGUAGGCCCUGAGAAGUCAAAUACACCUGAAGCACAAGUCAAGGAUUCUGAAAUACCUACCUUGACUAUGUUCAAGAACAUUAAAGAGGAUAUGGCCAAAUCCACUAAUGUAAUUAAUGAAAACACAAACUAACAGUAGAAUAAAACAAACAAAACAAAAAACCCAAACCAAAGACAUCUCAGGAGAUAAAAGUGGAAAUGAAAUCUCUAAAGAGAAUCCAACUGAAGGAGAGGUUAAAAUGAAACAUUUAUAAACUCAAAAAGCAAUUUCAGAGGCACGCCUCAUCAAGAGAAUGCAAGACAUGAAAAGAGAAUCUCAGACACUGAAGAUGAGAUAGAAGAAAUGGAUACCUCAGUCAAAGAAAAUGCUAAACAUAAAAACGUCCAUGUACAAAACAUUCAUGAAAUCUGGGACACUAUGAAAAAACAAAUUUACAAAUAAUAGGGAUAAAGAGUAGGGGAAGAUAUUCAGGUCAAAGGCACAGAAAAAUAUUUUCAACAAAAUCAUAGAAGAAAAUUUCCUUGACAAGUAUAAAGAGCCCAUCAACGUGCAAGGGGCAUAAGAACACAAAAUAGAAAGGUCAAGAAAAGAAAUUCCCCACAACCCAUAAUAAUCAGAAUACUAAAUUUACACAAAGAAAGAAUAUUAAAAACUGCAAGAAAAAAGACCAAGUAACAUAUGAAGAAACAACCAGUUCUGUACAUUGAUAACUCUCAAUAUCAAAGAUCUUAAUUCCCCAAUAAAAAGCCAUAGACUGAUUGGAUUAAAAAUCAGAAUCCAGGCCAGGUAUUGGUGCAUGCCUUUCUUUAAUCCUGGUACUUAGAAAGCAGAAACAGUCAGAUCUCUGUCUACAGCCUGGUCUACAGCAUGAGUUCCAGGACAGCCAGAGCUGUCCUGACUUGAAAAAUAAACAUACAAACAAAACAACAAUAACAAUGAAAAUUUGGGUCCAUAUGUUUUCUGCAUCCAAGAAACACCCUCUAACAUCAAGUUGGAAAUCACCUGGGGGUAAAAUAUGGGAAAAGAUACAUCAAGACCUACGAAACAAGCUGGUAUACAGCCAUUUCAAUAUCUAAAAAACAGACUUCAAACCAAACCAUCAGAAGAGAUAGGUGGGGAUGGACACUAUACAUAUUUAUCAGAUGAAAAAUCCUCCAGGAGGAAGUUGCAAUUUUAAACAUCUAUGCACCAAACACAAGGGCAUCCAAGUUCAUAAAAGAAACAUAUUAACCUUCACACAGUCAUAGUAAGUGACUUCAAUACCCAACUCUUACUAAUAGACCGGUCAUCCAGACAAAAACUGAAUAGAGGCAUGCUGGAGCAAAACGUCUUCAUAAAAAAAUGGACCUAACAGACACAGAACUUUUAACCCAAAUACAAAAUACUAUACCUUCUUCUCAGCAGCUCAUGGAGAUUUCUCCAAAAUUGACCAUAUUCUUGGACAAAAAGUCUCAACAGAUGGAAGAAAAUUGAACAACUGGUUCCCAACAAACCACCAUGUAGCAAAGCUAGUUAUCAACAACACCAAAAACAACAAUAAGCUUACAAGUUCAUGGAAAGUAAAUAACUCACUACUGAGUGACGACUGAGUCAAGAAUUAAGAAAUUUAAAAAGUUACUAGAAUUUAAUGAAAAUGAAAACAUAACAUACCCUAAUUUAUGGGACACAAUAAAGGGAAUCUCAAGAGGCACGCUCAUAGCACUAAGUGCCUAUAUAAAAUAAUAAGAGAGCUUUUAUAUUAGUAACUUAACAGCAUUAGAGCAUUAGAACAAAUGAGAGCAUUAGAACAAAAAUAAGAAAUAACACCCAAAAGACGAUGACAAGAAAUAAUCAAACUCAAGGCUAAAAUCAAUAAAAUAGAAACAAACAAACCAAAAACCAAAAAAAAAUCAAUGAAACAAAUAAUUGAUUCUUUGAGAAAAUCAUUAAGAUUGAUAAAAUCUUAGCCAUAAAAAAUUGGAGACAAAAGGGAUAUAUAAUAAAAGACACCAAGGAAAUCCAAAGAAUAGUAAGGGCAUACUUCAAAAACCAGUAUUUAUCCCUAGUUCAGGAAUGGACUGUGGGAGCCCAUUCCCCAUGGAGGCUCUCUCAGAUCAGAUACAUGGAGGAGGACCUAGGCCCUCCCCCAAAUGAUAUGACAGACUUUGAUGAUCUCCCAUGGAAGGGAGAGGGAACUGGGAUUGAUAUGUAAAAUAAGAUUGUUUCUAAAUUAAAUUUAAAAAACGCAAUACUUCACGAAAUUGGAAAAUCUAAUACAAAUGGAUAUUUUUCUUGAUAUGUACCACUUAUCAAAGUUAAAUAAAGAUGAAAUAAGUGAUUUAAACAGAGCUAUAACUUCCAGUGAAAUAGAAGCAGCAAUUAAAAGUCUCUAGACCAUAAAAAGCUUAGGGCCAGAUGGUUUAGUGCAGAUUCUACCAGACCUUCAAAGAAUAACUAAUGCCAAUUCUUUUCAAAUUAUUCCACAAAACAGAAACAGAAGGAGCACAGUCCAAUUCUUUUUACAAGAUCACAGUUACCCUGACACCUAAACCACAUGAAAACCCAACAAAGAAAGAAUUACAAAUUUCCCUUCUGCUCAGCGGUACAAAAAUUUCUCAAUAAAAUACUUGUAAACUGAAUCCAAAAACAUCAAAGAGAUCAUCCCCCACCAUCAGGUGGGCUUCUUCUCAGAGAUGCAGAGAGGUUCAACAUAUGUAAAUUGAUAAAUGUAAUUCACCAUAUAAAUAGACUGAAACACAAAUCCCACAUAAUUAUCCCAUUAGAUACAGAAAAGUCCUCGACAUACUCCAACAUCUACUCAUGAUAAAAAGUCUUGAAGGGACUAAGGAUACAAAAGACAUGCCUCAGCAUAAUAAAAGUGAUUUACAGAAAGCCCUCAGCCAAUGCCAACCAAAUUUGCAAUGAGUUUUAGAAAUCAGGUUUUUGAUAGAACCAGAAGAGCAGAAACAUACUGUGUUGUGCUGUGUCUUGUAAAAUAAGAACCUUUUUGCUGCUACCUCGAGUUUUCUCCCCCUUUCUUCUAGUAAUAGAAAAAGGGUGUUUCCAACAUUUAGAUUAUAUCUUGAGCUUGACCCACAUAGAAUAAGUUUUAUAUGGUGCCAGAUAUCUUAAUAGCUAUAAAUAUUUACUCAUGAUCUAUAGGUGAAUCUCUUUAAGCAAAAGUAGAAGAAUAAGAAAGAUUGUAGAAUUUACACAUGGAAGUACUAAAAUAAGAGAAGAUAAAAGCUUUUCUUGAAGACAUAAUCAGUAGGAGAAAAUUCCCCAAAGAUUAGAUGUCUGUGGAAGGGAGUAUAAUAACAAUGUUUAAACAGACCUUCAGAGAACAUGUGUAAAAAUGCUGAAAAGUAAACAGAAUUUAACAGAGGCUUCAGAAACCUCCACCAAUUAGUGUAGCCUUAAAAAUUAGCUUUCCCAUCCUUAUGGCUCUGUCUACUUGAUAUAUGAACAGGAGAUUUUCCACGCCCACCCCCACCCCACCAUCACCAGGGAACAGUUCUCAGGCACUCAGAUAAGUGAGCUAGGCCAGGCUUUGCCCUACCCUUUAAUGUUUUCCCUCGGAUGCCCUUAAUUUUAGGGAGAGAUACAUUGCUCAGUUUUGCUUCCCAGGAAGUGAAGCUAUGUCUAUUUACUACUGUAGUUUCUCCCUGUCUUGAUCUCUGUAGAAUAUAAAGGGGAGGGGGACCCUCUGGGAGAAUGAAUUUAGUUCCAUUUAUGUCCACACCCAAAUCUAUUUCCUUCUGUUUUUGACCAGCUCUCCUGCCUCUCCAUCUCAAUGGAAGGAUAUUAUUGUUCCUCAAGAUAUCAUUUUAGCACAGCUGUGGUUCUUAUCCAAUCCCCCAAAUUAUGUUUCCUCAUUAGUCAUUCUUUUUUCUUUGUCUCCUUUAUUCCUUCUUGAAAACUUUAAAUGAAGUCUGUUUUCAUUUAAACAAUGGUUAAAAAAACCAAAUGCCUUCUUCUAUUUUAUUCUAAUUAAUUUUUCUAAUCUAUGCCACUUUAACCCAAAAUUAUUUGAAAGCUAUGUCCCUGAGACCUUAAAAUGUGCAGGUACUGCUCUAAAAUUUUCUAUAUGUGUCAGUCCACAUAAUUAUAAUUCUUCCUACACUACAUUUACACAUUAGGAAAAUAUGGGACAGUGCAGUUAUAUGAGUUGCUUAAAGUUCCAGAACCAGCUAACGUUGGGGUUGAGAUGUGGACAUGGGCAACUUGCCUCCAAUGCUCACUAUGCCCCUUUAUCAUUUCCAGCACAGAAGUUUAUGCCCAAUGUCCUGAGUACCUCACACAAUACUCCAUCCCUCUAUAAUCCUAGGGAAAAUAUUCUUGCCAAUUUCUACUCCUUGAAACUGAUGGAAGAUUUCAAGCCCACUUCAUUUGAGAUCAUUGACACAUUCUUUCCCCCAAAUACUACUUAUUUUUUCUAUAGCAUUUGGCCAUAUUCUAAAUUUCUCAUUCAAUAUUUCUAACACAGAAUUUGAAUGAGGGUUCCCAUAAUGUUUUAUACUCCCACAGUUUUAUGUGACCCCAAAUAGUUGAAUUAUGUAUAAUAAUGAGAUCAUACAUAACUACACAAACAUUAGUUCAUUUUUGUUACCUAUAAAGUUGUCUUGAAAUUUUAAUUUAUUAACUUUUUCAUUAAUAAGAAACUUUAUAUUUAAGAAUUUGGAUACAUUUGUAAUUCAGUUGGUCUAAGAACUAUAUUAAGAAUUCUCUGUCUGUCUGUCUAUCUAUCUAUUAUUUAUUUUCUUAGCAAGGGAUGAAGAAAUCCUGUGGAAGGCAUCAUCUUUGUGAAAGUAAAUGUAUGUAUUUCAGCUGCAGGCUGCCCAGUAUUUUGUAGUUUAUUAGCUAGUCUAUCAACAACAGUGCUUACAUUUACUAUGUCGAACACACAUUUCACUAGUAUAGAUUUGAACACAAGGAUCCCUCAAGACUCUGUGAAAGCUGACAGGCAAGCAUCUCUGCUAUGUUCCCCUAGCUCAUGCUGUACAUACAGAGGGCAGAAAGCCAAGGUAAUAGAACUGUAAUUACAUGCUCCAGAUGUGUCAGACCUGAGCAGCAAGCCCUGAAGAAUUACAUUCCUUAGAUAUAUCUGGGCAGAGUAGAACACCGUCACAGGAAAUUGAUUUGUUUUUCUCUCCAAGAUGUUGGUGAGAAAAUGGUGGAAAAUAGCUGCUUCAUAUAACAACACAUUGUUUUUUUAAUAACUUUCUUUUCGGUGCACAGGAAUAUAAAAGAUGUUCCUUUUUUUCCAUUUAGUUGGCCAAUCAGCCGCUCCAUCUAUCUGGGCUAGAAAGAGCUCAAUCCUGAGCUGCAUUCUGGUGAGUGAAUAUCUAAUAAACUUUUCUCUCUUUGAACUUCUGAAUCUAAGUUCAGUUUCUGUCUCCUUCUGUCAAGUUACUAUAUUUCAGUUCAGUAUUUUGGAAAACACCAUAAUGACACAGAAAUAUCACAUUAACUAAACAAAAUUUUCUGCAAAUUAGUGUUUAAAAGUUUUCUGUCUUAAAUUACAUUAUGUUAUCACCUCUCCUACUCAGUAGCUAUCCUCCUGUCUCCAGAAAUUUAUCUAAUGAUGGAAUAUUCAUGAAUAAAUAAUUUAUUUUUCCCCAAGAGAUUAUUUUUUAUUAAUUUAAAUUAGAAAUAAGGAUGCUUCACAUGGCAAUCCCUUCUCCCUCUCCCUCCCCUUCCCCCAGUGCCC
ensembl:lncRNA